CCCGCUGAACUUAAGCAUAUCAAUAAGCGGAGGAAAAGAAACUAACAAGGAUUCCCCUAGUAACUGCGAGUGAAGCGGGAAAAGCUCAAAUUUAAAAUCUGGCGGGCCUUUGGGCGUCCGAGGUGGAAUCCGGAGAAGUGUUUUCCCCGUGGGACCGGGUACAAGUCCUUUGGAAAGGGGCUUCUUAAAGGGGGGAAAUCCCGUCUUUGACACGGACAACCGGGGCUUUUGGUGCGCUCUCAAAGAGUCGAGUUGUUUGGGGAAACGGCUCUCAAAAGGGGGGGGAAAUACCCUCUCAAGCUCUAUAUAUGGGAGAGAGCCCUAGCGAACAAGUACCCCGAGGGAAAGAUGAAAACCACUUUGUGAAGAGAGUUAUGCAGUGCGUGAAAUAUGCUGAAAGGGAACCGCUCGAAGUCAGUCGCAUCUGCUGGGACUCUCCCCUGCUUCUCUGCUUGGUGCACUUUCCAGUUUGAUGGGCCAGCAUCGAUUUUAACCCUUGGAAAAAGGCGGAGGGAAUGUGGCACCUUUGGGAGUGUGAUAGUCCUAUCUCACAUACAAUGGUAGGGAUCGAGGAUCGCAGCCCGCCAUUAUGACCGAGGAUCGCCCCCGUACGUGCUCAGGAUGCUGGCGUAAUGGCUUUAAGCGACCCGUCUUGAAACACGG
rnacentral:rRNA from 1 species